rnacentral:rRNA from 1 species
UACGGGGGGGGCAAGCGUUGUUCGGAAUUACUGGGCGUAAAGGGUUCGUAGGUGGCCAACUAAGUCAUACGUGAAAUCCCUCAGCUUAACUGGGGAACUGCGUCUGAUACUGGUUGGCUUGAGUGCAGGAGAGGAACGCGGAAUUCCAGGUGUAGCGGUGAAAUGCGUAGAUAUCGGGAGGAACACCUGUGGCGAAAGCGGCUCACUGGACCACAACUGACGCUGAGGCGCGAAAGCUAGGGGAGCAAACAGG